rnacentral:rRNA from 1 species
UACGAAGGGGGCGAGCGUUGUUCGGAAUUACUGGGCGUAAAGGGCGUGUAGGCGGCCCCUUUUGUCGCGUGUGAAAGCCCCGGGCUCAACCUGGGAGGUGCGCGCGAAACGGGGGGGCUUGAGUUCGGGAGAGGAGCGUGGAAUUCCCAGUGUAGAGGUGAAAUUCGUAGAUAUUGGGAAGAACACCGGUGGCGAAGGCGGCGCUCUGGACCGAGACUGACGCUGAGGCGCGAAAGCGUGGGGAGCAAACAGG